rnacentral:rRNA from 1 species
ACAGCAGUAGCCGCGGGAAUACGUAGGGUGCAAGCGUUAAUCGGAAUUACUGGGCGUAAAGCGUGCGCAGGCGGUUUUGUAAGACAGAGGUGAAAUCCCCGGGCUCAACCUGGGAACUGCCUUUGUGACUGCAAGGCUAGAGUACGGCAGAGGGGGAUGGAAUUCCGCGUGUAGCAGUGAAAUGCGUAGAUAUGCGGAGGAACACCGAUGGCGAAGGCAAUCCCCUGGGCCUGUACUGACGCUCAUGCACGAAAGCGUGGGGAGCAAACAGGAUUAGAUACCCGUGUAGUCCCUGUCUCUUAUAC